UACGUAGGGGCUAGCGUUGUCCGGAUUUAUUGGGCGUAAAGAGCGUGUAGGCGGCCAGGUAGGUCUGGUGUGAAAACUCGAGGCUUAACCUCGAGAUGUCAUCGGAAACCAUCUGGCUAGAGUCCGGAAGAGGAGAGUGGAAUUCCUGGUGUAGCGGUGAAAUGCGCAGAUAUCAGGAAGAACACCAAUGGCGAAAGCAGCUCUCUGGGCAUUACCUGACGCUGAGGAGCGAAAGUGUGGGGAGCGAACAGG
rnacentral:rRNA from 1 species